AUCCACUUCCUGAGCUGUGCAGGACUCUGUAGCUUUCUAGCACUUUCCGCAUUCGGUAGUAAUUACCUGUUAACAUUUCCAGCUCUCCACUGCGCCGUGAACUUCCUGAGGACAGAAAUGAAGCCCUGAUAGCAGUUCUGCAGCCCCCAAACCAUGCUGAAUACAGACAUCUAAGGAAGAGUCUCAUAACUUGGAAGGAAUUGGGAUUGGCACAUGACUACAAGGUGCAGCACUCCACAAGAACCCAAGGGGCCAAGGAAGAUGGGAUUCUCCAAGCCACUCUUCUACAUAUCCAGGGGUGUCAACAAGGGCCUUUUUCCCAUCAA